rnacentral:rRNA from 1 species
UACGGGGGGGGCAAGCGUUGUUCGGAAUUACUGGGCGUAAAGGGCUCGUAGGCGGCCAACUAAGUCGGACGUGAAAUCCCCAGGCUCAACCUGGGAACUGCGUCCGAUACUGGGUGGCUUGAAUCCGGGAGAGGGAUGCAGAAUUCCAGGUGUAGCGGUGAAAUGCGUAGAUAUCUGGAGGAAUACCGGUGGCGAAGGCGGCAUCCUGGACCGGCAUUGACGCUGAGGAGCGAAAGCCAGGGGAGCAAACGGG